UACGGGGGGGAGCAAGCGUUGUUCGGAUUUACUGGGCGUAAAGGGCGCGUAGGCGGUCGUGACAAGUCACUUGUGAAAUCCCACGGCUCAACCGUGGAACGGCUGGGUAUACUGGCGGUCUUGGGCCAUUCAGGGGCGACUGGAACAAGCGGUGGAGCGGUGAAAUGCGUAGAUAUCGCUUGGAACGCCGAAGGUGAAAACAGGUCGCUGGGGAUGUGCCGACGCUGAGACACGAAAGCCAGGGGAGCAAACGGG
rnacentral:rRNA from 1 species